UGGGGAAUAUUGCGCAAUGGACGAAAGUCUGACGCAGCGACGCCGCGUGAGGGAUGAAGGUUCUCGGAUCGUAAACCUCUGUCAGAAGGGAAGAAAGGCCAGUGGGCUAAUCACCACUGGAUUGACGGUACCUUCAAAGGAAGCACCGGCUAACUCCGUGCCAGCAGCCGCGGUAAUACGGAGGGUGCAAGCGUUAAUCGGAAUUACUGGGCGUAAAGCGCUCGUAGGCGGCGAAAUAAGUCAGGGGUGAAAUCCCACGGCUCAACCGUGGAACUGCCUUUGAAACUAUUUUGCUAGAGUAUGUGAGAGGAUAGUGGAAUUUCUGGUGUAGGAGUGGAAUCCGUAGAUAUCAGAAGGAACAUCAGUGGCGAAGGCGACUAUCUGGCACAAAACUGACGCUGAGGAGCGAAAGCGUGGGGAGCAAACA
rnacentral:rRNA from 1 species